AUUGAACGCUGGCGGAAUGCUUUACACAUGCAAGUCGAACGGCAGCACGGGGGCAACCCUGGUGGCGAAUGGCGAACGGGUGAGUAAUACAUCGGAACGUGCCCGGUCGUGGGGGAUAACGUAGCGAAAGUUACGCUAAUAUCGCAUACGAUCUGAGGAUGAAAGCGGGGGACCUUCGGGCCCCGCGCGACUGGAGCGGCCGAUGUCAGUUUAGGUAGUUGGUGGGGUAAAGGCCUACCAAGCCGACGAUCGAUAGCUGGUCUGAGAGGACGACCAGUCACACUGGGACUGAGACACGGCCCAGACUCCUACGGGAGGCAGCAGUGGGGAAUUUUGGACAAUGGGCGAAAGCCUGAUCCAGCCAUUCCGCGUGAAGGACGAAGGCCUUCGGGUUCUAAACUGCUUUUGUAUGGAACGAAAAGGCUCUGGCUAAUACCUGGGGCUCAUGACGGUACCGUAAGAAUAAGCACCGGCUAACUACGUG
rnacentral:rRNA from 1 species